rnacentral:rRNA from 1 species
AUGAUCGCACUAUUGCCAAAGAAGAACAGAGCCUCGGAGAUUGGCCACUACCGCUCGAUAAGUUUGAUUCACUCCAUCGGAAAAUUGUUGGCAGAAGUGUUAUCUCUCCAUCUAUCCGGGGUACUCCAGGUUGUUCUCUCACUAGCACAAAGGGCAUUUCGGAGGAAGAAAUGCAUUCAGGACUCCUUCAUGUAUGUGCAACGCAUUCAUGACUCCUUCCUGUACAUGCAAAACUGUGUCCACUCCCUGCAUCGAAACAAAAAACCAGCGCUGGUGAUCAAGAUUGACAUAGCUAGGGCCUUCGACUCCGUAGCUUGGGAUUAUCUCCUUGAACUUCUUCAAUGGCUAGGUUUUAGCGCGCGAUGGUGCGAUUGGAUAGCUACUCUUCUGUCUUCGGCCUCGUUGUCAUGCCUCCUUAAUGGAGUGCCCGGAGAGAUGACCGAGCAUGUUGUUCGAAAUAUUCCCUAG